AAAUUUGUCAAAAAGAAUUCAAUCACUCCUCCACUUUGAAAUACCAUGAUUUAAUACACUCUGGAAAAAGCAAUUUGAAUGUAAAAUUUGUCACAAAGCAUUUAAUUGGUCCUCUGCCUUAAAACUCCAUAAACUAAUACACUCUGGUAAGAAAACAUUUAAAUGUACAAUCUGUAAGAAAGAAUUCAAUUAGUCUCAUCAUUUAAAAUCCCAUAAGCUGAUACAUUCUGGUGAAAAGCCAUUU